UGGGGAAUAUUGCACAAUGGGCGCAAGCCUGAUGCAGCAACGCCGCGUGAACGAUGAAGGUCUUCGGAUCGUAAAGUUCUGUUGCAGGGGAAGAUAAUGACGGUACCCUGUGAGGAAGCCCCGGCUAACUACGUGCCAGCAGCCGCGGUAAUACGUAGGUGGCAAGCGUUGUCCGGAAUUAUUGGGCGUAAAGCGCGCCCAGGUGGUUUAGAAAGUCUGAUGUGAAAGCCCACGGCUCAACCGUGGAGGGUCAUUGGAAACUAAUAAACUUGAGUGCAGGAGAGAAAAGUGGAAUUCCUAGUGUAGCGGUGAAAUGCGUAGAGAUUAGGAGGAACACCGGUGGCGAAAGCGGCUUUUUGGCCUGCAACUGACACUGAGGCGCGAAAGCGUGGGGAGCAAACAGG
rnacentral:rRNA from 1 species